CGCCCUUCAGAGGGGGACAACAGUUGGAAACGACUGCUAAUACCGCAUACGAUCUAAUCUCGGCAUCGAGGAUAGAUGAAAGGUGGCCUCUAUUUAUAAGCUAUCACUGAAGGAGGGGAUUGCGCCUGAUUAGCUAGUUGGAGGGGUAACGGCCCACCAAGGCGAUGAUCAGUAGCCGGUCUGAGAGGAUGAACGGCCACAUUGGGACUGAGACACGGCCCAG
rnacentral:rRNA from 1 species